rnacentral:rRNA from 1 species
CCUACGGGUGGCAGCAGUAGGGAAUCUUCCACAAUGGGCGAAAGCCUGAUGGAGCAACGCCGCGUGGGUGAAUAAGGUCUUCGGAUCGUAAAACCCUGUUGUUAGAGAAGAAAGUGCGUGAGCGUAACUGUUCACGUUUCGACGGUAUCUAACCAGAAAGCCACGGCUAACUACGUGCCAGCAGCCGGGGUAAUACGUAGGUGGCAAGCGUUAUCCGGAUUUAUUGGGCGUAAAGGGAACGCAGGCGGUUUGUUGAGUCUGAUGGGAAAGCCGUGGGCUUAAACGGAGUAGUGCAUUGGAAACGGGGAGACUUGAGUGGAGAAGAGGAGGGUGGAA